GACCGUGUAGCUCAGUUGGCAGAGCAUUGGGCUAGUAUUCCAAAGGUCGUAGGUUCGAUUCCCACCGUGGCUG